UUUGAAUCGGGUGACUGAGAUUAAUGAGACAUUUGUUCUCUUGAAGGUGAUGGCAAUGUUCAUUGCUAAAGUAAAAAACAGAAGAAAAAAAAGGAGAGAGAAAACAAGCAGGGGCUGAGAAGACGAUGAGAAACACUCAGAAAGCUGACUUACGUUGUGCGUUCUGUGCUCUGCUUCUAAGAUAAGUGCAUUUCCUCACUGCUGAAAUCACCUGCUGCAAAGGGCUCUUGCUGCAAACCUUGAGUGCUUCCCCACUUGGGACACAGCUGAGGCAACUUUCCUGGCCCUGGUCCCGACGGCCUCGCUGCGAAUGGGGCCUGGCCUGUGUGAGCAAGGGUGGCUGCAGUCAGACUGCCAGCGGGGUUCUUUGUGUGGAAAGAAUGCAAUGAUACAAAGAUAGUAAUAAGCAUUAUAAUAAAACCCCUCCCACCAAUGUGUAGGCAUGGCGGUGCUCCUGGAAUUGCUCUGUGAAGAGUGCAGGCCAGCGAGGGCUGGGCAUCCUGGAGAGUUUUAGAGGGAAAGGCUGUGAGGCUGAUGCUGAUUUGGACAGCGGGCUUUGGGGCUUCUCUGUCUUCUGUAGCAUGGGGCAGCCACUGCUGGUGGCAGAGAGGUGCAAUGUGUCCCUGAGGCCUCAGAGUGCUGCAGCCUGGCCAGGCCAAGCACUAGGCCAGGAGUAGCCAUGAUGGAGUCAUACAUCCAUAAAAGUUGUAUUGUUUAAACUUGUGAACAGUGCAAAUGUUUCUCUAACAAAAAAUCUGCAGGAGGUUUGGCAGCAAAUACCUGUUUUCAUUGUUUGCUGUUAGGUGAUAGCAGCAAGGUAUGCGGGCUGCAAAGGGGAAAGGUAAACUUGUCAGUGAGGCAUGCAGUCCCUUGGAAAGUCCCUUCUGAACGUUGUGGAUGGGAGGUGGAGAGCUGAAGUGGUUUCCUACGAAGCUGAAUGUGAUCUUGUGCUAUGCUGUGUUGUAAGGCAGCAGCUGUGGAACAUGGAAGAUGUCUGCUUUCAGGAGGGCCGUGCUUUGGCAAGACAGAGGUGGCCAAGGAGAUCAAGCCAUGGAGAAACUUCCUUCAGUUUUAUGCUUCUGUUGGCUUCUGUAAACUGUGGAUCAGUGCCACUGGUAAAUGGGAUAUGCCAGCAAGGUGGAUGGACAUCCAUUUCAGGAAGGAAGAUGGAAGACACAUCCGGAAACUGUAGGUUUUGCAAUGCUGAAUGUCUUUAAAGAUUUCUCAUGGCGUUGAAAAAUGCAGUUGGACAUUUAUCCUACUCAUUGGAGUCCUCAAUUUUAUUUCCAUCUGGAAUGGCACAGCAGUACUUGUGGGGCUGUUAACUUGGCUGAGGAAAGUGGUAUGGAACUGGUCCUUUGGACUUAGUGAGUAUCUACUUCAUAGGUAAGUUCCAUUUGAUCACAGUUUCGAAAUCUCCAUUCUUUUGGGUUACUUUUUUCUUUUAGGAACUCCAGAUUUUACUUGAACAGUUAUUUACGAUAUUUAUUAUGCACAUGGGUCUUAUUUUACCAGUCUCAAAGUGCUUCUCAAAAAGCAGGCAGAUAUGAUUCAAUAGAACAGUAGACAGUGGCUUGAUCCUGA
ensembl:lncRNA